UACGUAGGGUGCGAGCGUUGUCCGGAAUUAUUGGGCGUAAAGGGCUCGUAGGCGGUUUGUCGCGUCGGGAGUGAAAACACCGGGCUUAACUCGGUGCUUGCUUUCGAUACGGGCAGACUAGAAGCAUGCAGGGGAGAACGGAAUUCCUGGUGUAGCGGUGAAAUGCGCAGAUAUCAGGAGGAACACCGGUGGCGAAGGCGGUUCUCUGGGCAUGUCCUGACGCUGAGGAGCGAAAGUGUGGGGAGCGAACAGG
rnacentral:rRNA from 1 species